GGAAUUUUGCGCAAUGGGGGGAACCCUGACGCAGCAACGCCGCGUGAGUGAAGACGCCCUUCGGGGUGUAAAGCUCUGUUGCCCGGGACGAGGGCCUGUGAGGUGAAGAGCCUCGUGGGAGGACGGUACCGGGUGAGGAAGCCCCGGCUAACUCCGUGCCAGCAGCCGCGGUAAGACGGAGGGGGCGAGCGUUGUUCGGAAUUACUGGGCGUAAAGCGCGCGUAGGCGGCGCAUCAAGUGUAGCGUGAAAGCCCCCGGCUUAACCGGGGAAGGGCGGUGCAAACUGAUGGGCUAGAGUGUCGGAGGGGGAUACGGAAUGCCUGGUGGAGCGGUGAAAUGCGUAGAGAUCAGGAAGAACGUCGGUGGCGAAGGCGGUAUCCUGGACGAACACUGACGCUGAGGAGCGAGAGCGUGGGGAGCGAACG
rnacentral:rRNA from 1 species